rnacentral:rRNA from 1 species
CACGGAGUUAGCCGGUGCUUCUUCUGCGGGUAACGUCAAUGGGCAAAGGUAUUAACUUUACUCCCUUCCUCCCCGCUGAAAGUACUUUACAACCCGAAGGCCUUCUUCAUACACGCGGCAUGGCUGCAUCAGGCUUUCGCCCAUUGUGCAAUAUUCCCCA